AUUGAACGCUGGCGGCAUGCUUUACACAUGCAAGUCGAACGGAAGCGCGGGCUUCGGCCUGGCGGCGAGUGGCGAACGGGUGAGUAAUGAAUCGGAACGUGCCCAGUAGUGGGGGAUAGCCCGGCGAAAGCCGGAUUAAUACCGCAUACGACCUGAGGGUGAAAGCGGGGGACCGAAAGGCCUCGCGCUAUUGGAGCGGCCGAUGUCGGAUUAGCUAGUUGGUGGGGUAAAGGCUUACCAAGGCGACGAUCCGUAGCUGGUCUGAGAGGACGACCAGCCACACUGGGACUGAGACACGGCCCAGACUCCUACGGGAGGCAGCAGUGGGGAAUUUUGGACAAUGGGGGCAACCCUGAUCCAGCCAUGCCGCGUGCGGGAAGAAGGCCUUCGGGUUGUAAACCGCUUUUGUUCGGGAAGAAAUCCUCUGGGCUAAUAUCCCGGGGGGAUGACGGUACCGGAAGAAUAAGCACCGGCUAACUACGUG
rnacentral:rRNA from 1 species